rnacentral:rRNA from 1 species
GAUGAACGCUGGCGGCGUGCCUAAUACAUGCAAGUCGAGCGAACUGAUUAGAAGCUUGCUUCUAUGACGUUAGCGGCGGACGGGUGAGUAACACGUGGGCAACCUGCCUGUAAGACUGGGAUAACUCCGGGAAACCGGAGCUAAUACCGGAUAACAUUUUUUCUUGCAUAAGAGAAAAUUGAAAGAUGGUUUCGGCUAUCACUUACAGAUGGGCCCGCGGUGCAUUAGCUAGUUGGUGAGGUAACGGCUCACCAAGGCAACGAUGCAUAGCCGACCUGGGAGGGUGAUCGGCCACACUGGGACUGAGACACGGCCCAGACUCCUACGGGAGGCAGCAGUAGGGAAUCUUCCGCAAUGGACGAAAGUCUGACGGAGCAACGCCGCGUGAGUGAUGAAGGCUUUCGGGUCGUAAAACUCUGUUGUUAGGGAAGAACAAGUACAAGAGUAACUGCUUGUACCUUGACGGUACCUAACCAGAAAGCCACGGCUAACUACGUGCCAGCAGCCGCGGUAA